rnacentral:tRNA from 1 species
UAUCUUUAAGUGUUGUGCACGUAAACUUUUGAUGUUUAAAGUAGAUUUUUAUCUAAAGAUAA